AGGGCUAAGUCCAAAACCAAAGCCGCCACUUCAAGAUUCUCUCCUGACGUUGUCGUGCGUAUAGCUGGCUCGAGAAUGUCCAUGUUAGGGCACUGCCCAGGUAAUGGUCGCUUUACGCGCUCCUAUUUAGAUCAKGCUCAAAGGGAGCAACCGGCCGAACAUCUGACCAUAUUGUUACUUUGUUUGUGACUUUCUGACAAUGUGAACGUUUAAUAAAUUUUAUGUAUUUAUCCAUCUAAGACAACCUGGCUAUGCCUGUCUCGACACCGGAGCUACUCCUAAUAUUGCUCGAAGUAGGCUUGCUCAGACACUCAUUGACGACCAAGACCCUUACACAGAGGUAAAUGAUCUAGACAUAGUUCGUGCGGAUGGAGUAAAGAGAUAGGUCCACGCAUUGCCCUACUAUAUCCCAGUAAUCCUCUACGUUAGGACAGUCCACAUACAAUUGGGAGCUAUACCAGAACAUGUCAACAGUCGCACCCUGCUGGGAACGGAAUUUAUUAGAUCAAUGAAACUUGUCAUAGACCUCAACAAUGAUUGUUUCUAAUUUACAGAUUGCAGUAGUAUUACCUACAGAUGCACUUCAGAAGAUGACGUUGCCAUGACCGCUGUCAAUUCGGUUUCACUCUUCAACGCUUUGCGCAAAGAUGACACUUCAAUUAUUAAGUUCUGCUCUGUUUUGCUGAAUAAAGGAAAACACGGUUAUGUAGCACAACUCAACGAUGACAGAUGGACCAAAAGACCAUUAGAAUGAAUAUCCCGUCAAGAUAGAAGAAGUCAGGGAGACCACCGGCGCGAUGGGCAGACGAUAUACGGAGAAUAGGACACAGCCGGAUGCAAUUUGAGCAACAUUGAAAUUCUUGGCGGCGUAUGGAGGAGGCUUUUGUCCAGCAGUGGACCCGAGAAGAAGCUGGAUGACAAUUCACAUAGAAUUAGUUAAUAGUGGUCAUUUAAUUACGUUACCCCGCGUUCUGUAAUAAACUAGCUUGGAGUUGACAGAUCAAUACACUUGGGCAGCAUAUAUUUUUAAACGAUGCUUUAUAAUAAUCACGUUACAGUAGAGGUGUGAUAUAUUGGCUUGUAUUUGUGAUAUAUUGUACUUAAAAGGAAGCUGUUCUAUACAUAAAUUACAUUACAUAAACAGUUA